CCCGCCAUCCUCGUUACACGAGGGGCAACCAUUAUAUUUAUUUUUAGUGGUGGUGAGAGUGGUGGUAGUGGAGGACCCGACCAGGGGUACCAUACUCAACAGGUUCACACCAUACCAGAAAUAUAACAGUAGCUAAAACAACUGCAUACUUUAUGGGAAACAAUAUGAGACCAUGGACGAUAAAUUUGGGUAUAUGAGGGCUGUCACUAGUCACACGUAAAAUUUCGGAGCAUAUCGACCCCCACCUACACAAAUAGUUGUUUUAGCAACUGUACAGGAAAUACAACCUGUCAUAACUGUAUUGAUAAUAAUUUAAGAGAAACUGUAGACAUACAUGAACAAAAAGCAUGGGUGUGUGAUCAUUAUACACAAACAUAGGUGGAGGUGUAUGAUCAUUGAAGUUACCGAGUGGCACCUUCCCAUGCUAGUUUCGGGUGCUAGGAAUUGUCCAUGCCCGAUAUGAUGAGGAUAUACGAGGCAAUUGCAAAAGUCAACUUUAUUUCCCUUGUCUCUCUUAACCUGAGAUGAUACAACAGGUAAAGGUAAUCCCGGAUAUAGUCAGGUAAUCAGGUUACAGUGAUGACCUGACAUACACUGACCCGGUAGAACAGCCAUAGUGAUUGAUUUGAGUAAUCUCGAUUGACUCCAAUCCUGUGUUGACCUGCCACGACCUCCCCUUCGACAGGAGAGAGUAUCAGCCUUGUUGCAACUCAAUCCCGACUUCAGAAUAACGUUUCCCAUCACGUGACCCUUUAUCCUGUGACCCAGCAAGAGGUCGUUGAGGCAGCAAUGACGUGUCCUUAGGUCGGCUGUGAGGGACUCUGAUACUUGCGACUUCCGCUUUAAAAUAAUAUCAAUUAUAAUUUUGUAGAGGAUUUCCAUACUUGAGUGUCUUCAUUAAUUAUUUACGAGGACAACUGGAUCCAGUUAUCAGAAUGUCUCUCGGUGAAAUAUCAGUGACUGGCUCCCACGCAACUCACUCACCAAUCCACUUAAUGACUCACCCGUCCUAUUGACCUACCUUCCAAUCCACCCAGAGUUCAUCCACCUAUUCACUCAUCCAGUUCAUCCACCCACUUGUCCUUUCAACUCAUAUUCCAUUAUAUUAUUCAGUCAUUCCUCGACUGACUCUCUCUCUCUCUCUCUCAGCCAACACAACCCAUUUACCCAUCAAACUCAUCCAUCUACCAAAUUAUCAUCAAAAUGUGAACAGCGGAAGUCCAAUAUAAUUCCUAUCCUGAGAGAGAGAGAGAGACUUGUAAAGUGGAAGCUGAACUUAAAACAGGUGCCAGGGAAGGCUUUACUCUUCGUUCCACUUGUUAAACGUUUACAGUCCAUCACACCUACCGCAUUGGAGAAGUUUAAUAGGAGACUGAAAAGUGGAAGCUCUGGUAACCUCUUUAAGCAAAAUUCUGUUAACCUAAGACACCACUCUGUACACGCAUUUAUCUGUGUGUCUCCGGAUUUAUCUUCCCAGGUCUGUUAUCGUUUGUGAUUAACUGCUUUAUAUUGGUUAAAAUUCUCCAAAUCGUGAGAAAAUCACUGGUGUCUACAGAUAGCUGUAAAACCAUUAUACUAAAUUAAUAAAAAAAAGUCACUGUACAUUUCUUCAUUUUCUCAGAUUGAAUUAAAAACUUUCGACUUUCUAAUUACUCACAAGCAGAUCUCUCGACUCAUCUAUCUGCAUUGAGCGAGUGGUAAAAUUUUUUAUUCGCGGUGAAAGGAAUUCUAAAACGUUACGCAUAUCCUCAAGGAAAAAUAAAAAGAAAGAAUCGUCGCUUAGGAUAAUAUUUUUGAUAGUCUAAAUACGUAAGUAUGUGAGACCUUACUAGUUUUUAUUAUCUUUCAUAUGACAAUUACAACAAUAAAAAAGAAAAACCACCCAAGUAAAAUGUAGCUUUGUAAAUUUAUUGCUCACAGAAGCCAGCGAGCCCCCUUUAAGAACUUGACAACCCUGUAGUGGCUCCUGUACCUCAUUGUAGUGUCUUGGGUAAGGAACCAUUCAGUGUUACAGCUCACAAGGCAGCUCUGUUCUUAAGUUUUGUUUUUAAGUAUCGGCAGUGUAUGAUGAAGCUGGACGCACCAAAUUUUUCAGACAUAAAAUUUUUUUUUCAAGUGUCCGUACUUGAUGUAACAAUUCAAUUAGAGGAAAUAAUGUAAUGCCACACUCCCUUGUACUUGGCAAUGGAGUUAAACAAGGUGCUGUCUUUAGGUUUAUAUGAAUUGCUAUCUUCGGCGACCUAUGGUGUAAGGGUCACCGUACUCGCCUUCCAAAUGAGUGACCCCAAGUUCGAUCCUCAAACAGAUUAAAACAAUAGGCAAGAUUUGUACACCAUUUGCCUCUGUCUACCCAGUAAUAAUUCUUUAACACUGGGUCAAACAGUUCGUUAACUCACAUGUGAUUGUUGAUGUUGCUGCCAUCAGGUUCUACACAUUAAUUAUUCAUGCUCAAGUGACCUUAGCGCCGGCCAGCAGCAAUUUAUUUUAUCCUCUGUUACAAGAAGUAUGAUUUAAUAAUGUUUUUAAACGUAUUGGUUGUUCUUGUUAUAAUGUACUUCAUCAUCUAAGGUAAAGCAUGAACAUUCAGUUAGUUUAUAUAUUAGACAACAAAUGUUAUGAGAACAGAUAUAAUUUUUUUAUCACCUGUGCUAAUAACUUUUAGCGUAUUAAUGACAUAAGGAGUGAUCCAUUUGUGUGACAGGUAUGAUAGUGUGUAGAGUGACACACAGAAUCCUUACACACGUGUCUUGAUAACUCAGAUACAACAUUACUGGAGACUGACGCUCACAGUCAUAUGGUGAAUAGUCCGGCAGCGAGAGGGACCAACCUCAAAGUGUUUGAUAUAGUUGUUCUCUUUUGUCAUUAUUCUUCUAUAGGGUCUGUGAACAGUUCCAGGUGGGUGUGGAGUUCUCACCUUGUCCAGGAUUUUUUGGCCAAACACAAGAUCACACAGGUCCGGCAGGCUCCCUACUCUUCUGACAUGGCUCCCUGUGACUUUUGGCUGUUUUCUAAUAUUAAGAUGCCGCUGAAGGGUUCGAGAUUUGAGGACACAAAUGAGAUAAAGAAAUUUGCGACAAAGAUCAUGUUGGCGAUCCCAAAAAAUGACUUUACAAAAUGUUUCCAGCAAUGGAAGGACCGCUGGCCAAAGUGUGUUGAGUCCCAAGGGGCCUACUUUGAAGGGGAUUAAAGUCUGAACUCAGUCAGUAAGCUUGUUUUUUUUCACCGGCUAAAGGUCGGAUACUUUUCGAUCAGACCUCGUACAGUACUGGAUUAAGAAAAAAUUAAUGUCACAAUUUUAUUGAAAAAAAUCGAGAAAAAAAAAGUCAAUAUAAUAUAUAUGUUUUCACAUGGCUUCACACCCCCCCCCCUCCCCCAGUGUGGGAACCACUGGUCCCACACUUUGCAGAACUUUCUCAAUACUAUUGAUCUUCAUAUUCCAAAUGCACUUGACGUAAUUGCUAACUAUAUGGCAAGACUUAUGAAGGUACUGUAUCUAUGAGCAAGGAGCUCUAUGUGAAGCUAAAGAAAGAGAUAUAGUCAAGAUAUCUUCUUGCCACUCAAAUACUGGAACUUGGUGAAAUGCUUGAGCAUUAUCUCCGGUCACAAAAGUAACUUGAUAGAUAUUGCAAUUUUUGUAAUGCUACAGUUGCUCAAUGUCACGUUGAUUCAACCAGAUAUUACUCCUUCAGUGGACUACAGUUUUCACAUAUUCACCAGUAACUCUUGGAAAACAAAACUCUAGAUCUAAAGAUUGCUUUGAUCAGGCCUGCACUCUAUAGAUGGGCUAUGUAGAAAAUUAAGUUAUCUAAAAUUGUACAUUAUGUUGGGGAAAAUAUUUUUUGGCUGUAUAGAAAAUAAAUUAUGUUUGGUACUUACUGGGAAAUCUGUGCAGUCCUCAAACUGUAGGGAAUUUCUACAUGUGGAAAAUCCUAAGACAUGAACUUAGAAUAGUUUAUACACUUCUUUCACUUUCAGGACAUAAUACAGUAAAAACCCCAUAAUUCGAAUUACAGUAAUAUGUGCUCUACCCAUUACAUAUUAUGAGAUUUAAAAAAAUUUGAGGGACACCUCCUGGGAAAAAAAAAAAAAAAAAAAAACAGUAUUUUUCCCAUUAUGUGCCCCAAUCAAAAUUUAAACAUUUAUAAGUACAGUACCUUUGUACCAGAUUUCGUUGCUUGGUCCCUGGUUAUCAGAUAUAAUAGCUCAACACUCGGCAAUAAUGGAAUAACAAGUAGAAAAAUGCUUGCAUAGUAGACCGUAGAUUUACACUCCAUGACUCACCAAUGUGAACUGACCGUUACCAACACGCAUGGCACAUAUAGUACUUGUUUACACUGAAGCGGACGGUUGCUUCCCAUGACGACUUGUGCGUUAUAGUAUAUAUUCAUUAGUCUCUCAUAAUCUGCAAUUUUACCAAAUACAUACUGUAUUACCAAAUUUUUAAUACUGUAUACAACAUACAGUACUGUAUAUUGUAAUAUUUCAAAAUUUUACCAAAUAUUAUGAAAUUUGUAAUAUAUAUUUUGUAACAGCAAAAAUUUACAGAUUAUGAAUGAUUUCCAAUUACUGUAGAGGGGUACGAAUUAUGGAGUUUUUACUCUAUACAGUAUAAAAUAUAUAAUCAGAGUUACCGGAGCCAAAAGGAAGCUAAAACAACCAAUAAACUCUUACCUGAUAAGUGAUGAAUUAAAGGUUGCCACAACAUAUGUACAGUAUAUGUUCUCUAUGGCUGCUCUAUUAAUGGUCUUUUGGCUAUAGAUAUCAAGUUUAUUUCCUGCUAUGCCCAAGGCACAGCCAAUAAAAACACAUUAUCAGUAGGAGUAUCAUCUAAAAUAUAUGUUGGGAAAAAUUAUCAUUUUCAUAUAUCACCCAAACUAUAGGUAACACACUACAGUACAGGAAAAUUCUCUACCUGUUUAGAUGCAUGAUAGUUUCUUGCCCAAAAUAUUCAAAACUUUUCAUCUCAUAAAAUUUGUGCAAUUAUGAUGAUUUCCUGAGUAAACUAUCACCCUACAGCUACUAAAAGAGCAAUAUGCUUCACCAAAUUACUUUACAGUUCAGUAACCAAAAGGAAUAUGGGAACCCAUUGUGGGAGCAUAGUAUAUCUUAAAUCUAGUGUUAAAAACCUAACAAUAACUCAUCCUAAAUUUUGGGGAUGGUUGUGUUAAGAAAGGAGUGUGUUUAGAAAGAGGAAUUAAUUGUACUAAUGAUUAAUUCUGAUGCAGUUAAGAUGAAAAUAUGAAAUAUUUAAAAAUAAUACCCAAUCUAUAAAAUUAUUAAUAAAUCAUGGUUAACACUACUGUACUUCCUGUUAUGUAUCUACUCAGAGCACUUCCUUAACUAGGGCAUGUGGACAGUUUCUGCAGUGACUACUCAAUAUUGAUUUAUUCUCACUUCAUAACAGUACCACUGCCAUAUACAGCAUGUAAUUUUUCCUUGAAUACUAUUUCAACUCACUUUUUCUAAUUGGAGGGAAAACUUGCAAUAAAUUAAAAUCAGAAUAUCUUACAAUAAGCAUCAUAUUAAUCAAGUUUGUACAAUGAUUUCAGACAUGGUUGGUAAGGAUGUUACUUAUGGGGGCUGGGGUGGCAGUAUCAUUACCGACUAUGGAAUAAUUACUACUGAUGACUGUGGCACUACUGUUGAUGGUGAAGGAGUUGUUAAUGAGUGUGGUGUCUAGUUCUUCUUCAUCCUCAGCUUCGUCAUUGUCAGCACUAUUAACAGUCAAACUCUCUUUCCACUCCCUCUGUGUCAACCAAACUGCAAAAACAAAACUUAUAUUAGCAACCAGUUCAAGUAGGAUUAGAAUAUACCUUAUUUGCACAGUCAGAAGCUGCACCUUUUAUUGCACAAUAAAAUAGAAGUUGGGGAGCAAAUUAAAAAAAAAUUACUAUCCUGGGUUGGAUGGUAUUGAAGUUCAGGAGCCCAAUGAAGCAUCCAUACCCACAGUGUCUGUAACCCAUAAUGGUGUAAUAAAACACUGAAUCAUU